GACGAACGCUGGCGGCGUGCUUAACACAUGCAAGUCGAACGGAAAGGCCCUGCUUUUGUGGGGUGCUCGAGUGGCGAACGGGUGAGUAACACGUGAGUAACCUGCCCUUGACUUUGGGAUAACUUCAGGAAACUGGGGCUAAUACCGGAUAGGAGCUCCUGCUGCAUGGUGGGGGUUGGAAAGUUUCGGCGGUUGGGGAUGGACUCGCGGCUUAUGAGCUUGUUGGUGGGGUAGGGGCUUACCAAGGGUUUGACGGGUAGCCGGCCUGAGAGGGUGACCGGCGACCUUGGGACUGCGGUAGGGCCCAGACUCCUACGGGAGGCAGCAGUGGGGAAUAUUGCACAAUGGGCGGAAGCCUGAUGCAGCAACGCCGCGUGCGGGAUGACGUCUUUCGGGUUGUAAACCGCUUUCGCCUGUGACGAAGCGUGAGUGACGGUAAUGGGUAAAGAAGCACCGGCUAACUACGUG
rnacentral:rRNA from 1 species